rnacentral:rRNA from 1 species
UACAGAGGGUGCGAGCGUUGUCCGGAGUUACUGGGCGUAAAGGGUGCGCAGGUGGCGGCGCGCGUGGGGGGGUGAAAUCGCCCGGCUUAACUGGGCGGGGGCCUUCCAGACGGCGUGGCUUGAGCAGCGGAGGGGGACGUGGAAUCCGGGUGGAGCGGUGAAAUGCGUAGAGAUCCGGAGGAACACCGACGGCGCAGGCAGCGCCUGGCCGCUUGCUGACACUGAGGCACGAAAGCUGGGGGAGCAAACAGG